ACUGAAACACCAGUUCCCAUACAAUCACUGAAGUUAAGCAACAUCAAGCCUGGUCAGUAUCUAGAUGGGUGAUCACUUGGGAAUACCAGGUGCUGUAAG